rnacentral:rRNA from 1 species
UACGAGGGAUGCAAGCGUUAUCCGGAAUUAUUGGGCGUAAAGCGUCCGCAGGUGGCUCUGUAAGUCUGUCGUUAAAGCGUGGAGCUUAACUCCAUAUCGGCGAUGGAAACUACAAGGCUAGAGUUUGGUAGGGGUCACGGGAAUUCUUAGUGUAGCGGUGAAAUGCGUAGAUAUUAAGAAGAACACCAGCGGCGAAAGCGCGUGACUGGGCCAAUACUGACACUCAUGGACGAAAGCUAGGGGAGCGAAAGGG